AUGGAGAGAAUAACGUUGGGGCCAUCCGACAAGGAAGCCUACACCCAAUCGCUACAUUCUAAUACUUCAUCGCCAAAGAAAUUUUCUGUUGACAUCAUGAAUCACCAUAUGUAUGGCCUAGUUCUCACUGGAAACAUAUUUUUUGGACUGUUUUUCUCAUAAUAAGGAUUGGAAGAUCAAAUAUUAGAGGCUGGAGCAGAUAUUUUGGUUACUUCAUCUUACCAGAUUGACUCUGCUAUUGGUGGUACUUAUUUUAGCUCAUGAAUUGGAGGUAGUAGAGGAUGCAGAAUGCAAGUUUAUUUGAAGCCAAGUUUCAUUCAAGGUCAUUGA